CUUAGGCUGACUGGUCAGGGGGUUUCCCUCACUGCCUUUUCUUCCUUUUUAGCCCUGUUGAACUUUCCCUCAGAAUGAACAUUUUACAGAAUUCCAGUGGGCCGAGGUCGCCGAAGUCGCAGUCGAAGAGUUCGCUGAUGCCCUCGUGGUCCUCCAGUCCGAAGUGGUAGUCCUGGCUGUGGGGAGGAGAUAAGCUGAUGAAGCUGUCUAUAGGCAGGCCAAAGCUGUCCCCACCUGUACCUCCAGAAGUGGCCCGAUCCAGUAAGAAGUCCGACGAACCCAACACUGGAAGAUCGAAAUCAGGCAUCUCACAAAUACCAGAGAAGGGGUCCAGGAAUGACUCUGAGAAAACAAGGAGAAAGAAGGAAGAGGCGAGGCGCUGGGCAGAGUAGACGGAGUCGAUGCUGCAUCUUGUGCUGCUGUUGAGGACGUCUGAGGAGGGCUGGGACUGGACGACUUGGCUGGACUACAAUCUGUUACAGGACUACAAACCCCAGAACUGUCCUCUGGACACAGGAAGACGUCGAUGGGACCAUUGGAGCUCUUUAGAGAGAUCUGAUAGCCCUGGUGACGCAAAAAUAACUGCUGAUUACAUUCAAGCAUUAGGUUGGUGAUAACGGUUUUCCAGAAAGUCUUGCCCAAAGAUUUGCACUGGUGUAGUGUGGUGCACUUAUCCACUACGCUGUUCAAACCACCAUAUAUAGUUUUAAAUGUAACAGGGUAGAGCUAGAGUGCAAAAACAUUUUAAAUUUGUUUUUAGUACCUCAGUGGGCUCUGUGACGGUCAUCUGAGUCUCGGGAGGGGCUCUGAUCACCAUGACGAUUUGAUCUGGGGGGUCCACCGUGUUCCGCAGGUCCUGACACCUCACGUAGCUCAGCGUAGCUUCAAGUUAAAGAGAAUGCUGCAGACAGGGAUGUGUGCUAUUUACCUACACAAAGGCUCUUAAAAAGUAGCUAGAAAGGGCUUUUGAGCGAUGCCACAGAAGGUCUUUUAUUUAUCAGACAUACAUAUCUCUUAGCAAACAGUUCUUCUGUAGUAUCACUGCAAAAACCCUUUAUAGCAUCUCUGUUUUAGGGAGUGCAAACAGCUAUAAAGGAUAUUUCUUGUUGCUGGAGUCCUCUGUCAGCAGUCUGAGCUGGAGACUGCACUUGUUGAGGAGUUCAUCCAGCUUUUCUUCAGCUUCAGACAGUUCAGAAACCUCCCUCUGCAGCUCCUGAUAUCGCGCCACUGAUUCCCCGUCAAUACGAUUCCCCCUAAAACAACACAAACACAAAGUGGCUUCAGAGCAAAGAUACCACCCUCUAAUGCUUAUGUGUUUUUUCAGUCACUACAUAAACUAAAAUAGUUAACUAGGAUAUUUCUGUUCAUUCUCUAAAAUAAUCAAAUACAUCCUAGCAAUAUUAGCAAUGCACCGAUUAUUUGGCAACUAAAAAUAUUUAUCUCAAAAAGGUCAAAAAAGCAAAAAGAAGAAAAAAAAAUGAAACCAAACAGAGGAACAUUUUUAAGUAUAUAGAGCAGGCAGUAAUGAACCAAAAACAUGGAGAUCAGGUAAAUUGAAUACUCUGAAUUGAUCUGAUGUGUAUGUGUAAGGUGUGUGGUAUGUAUGUAAGCUUGUGUGUGUAAGUGUGUAAGUGUGUGUGUAAAUGUAUGUAUGACUGUGCCCAGAUAUGGAUGGGCACUCUGUCCUGGGUAAAUGCUGUAGUGCCCGAUGCACUCCUCCAGGUGGACGGUUGAGAGUACGCUGUGCGCUAUUGGCUGCCGCUUCUCACUGGUAUGUGGAUGAGUGCUGAUGUGUAAUGUGCUUGUGUGUAAAACGUGUAAAUUGUAAAGUGUCCUUGGGUUUCUAGAAAGACGCUAUAUAAGUUUAACUUCAUUCAUUCAUUCAUAAACAGGGUCACAAUGGGAGCCAAGAAACUCUCUACUCACAUAAAUUAGAUGAAAUACAGUGUUCAGUGUUCA